GAUGAACGCUGGCGGCGUGCCUAAUACAUGCAAGUCGAGCGAACAGACGAGGAGCUUGCUCCUCUGACGUUAGCGGCGGACGGGUGAGUAACACGUGGAUAACCUACCUAUAAGACUGGGAUAACUUCGGGAAACCGGAGCUAAUACCGGAUAAUAUAUUUAACCGCAUGGUUCAAUAGUGAAAGACGGUUUUGCUGUCACUUAUAGAUGGAUCCGCGCCGCAUUAGCUAGUUGGUAAGGUAACGGCUUACCAAGGCGACGAUGCGUAGCCGACCUGAGAGGGUGAUCGGCCACACUGGAACUGAGACACGGUCCAGACUCCUACGGGAGGCAGCAGUAGGGAAUCUUCCGCAAUGGGCGAAAGCUUGACGGAGCAACGCCGCGUGAGUGAUGAAGGUCUUCGGAUCGUAAAACUCUGUUAUUAGGGAAGAACAAAUGUGUAAGUAACUAUGCACGUCUUGACGGUACCUAAUCAGAAAGCCACGGCUAACUACGUG
rnacentral:rRNA from 1 species